rnacentral:antisense_RNA from 1 species
GACGGCACCGAUCUUCAGCCAAAGUUAAACAGAUUAAACCGCGCGCAUGGGUCGCCAUAAAAUUGAUGUCUUCAGGCCGCACCUGUUCGGCGGCCAUAAUCA